UGGGGAAUAUUGCACAAUGGGCGCAAGCCUGAUGCAGCCAUGCCGCGUGUAUGAAGAAGGCCUUCGGGUUGUAAAGUACUUUCAGCGGGGAGGAAGGGAGUAAAGUUAAUACCUUUGCUCAUUGACGUUACCCACAGAAGAAGCACCGGCUAACUCCGUGCCAGCAGCCGCGGUAAUACGGAGGGUGCAAGCGUUAAUCGGAAUUACUGGGCGUAAAGCGCACGCAGGCGGUUGAUUGAGUCAGAUGUGAAAUCCCCGGGCUUAACCCGGGAAUUGCAUCUGAUACUGGUCAGCUAGAGUCUUGUAGAGGGGGGUAGAAUUCCAUGUGUAGCGGUGAAAUGCGUAGAGAUGUGGAGGAAUACCGGUGGCGAAGGCGGCCCCCUGGACAAAGACUGACGCUCAGGUGCGAAAGCGUGGGGAGCAAACAGG
rnacentral:rRNA from 1 species